UUAGCUAUAAUAGUUGAUGGAAGUGAUUAAAAAGCACAGUAUUGUUGUUCUUCAGCUAGCUAACUAUUCUAGCAAAAUGAAAAGUACUCGCUAUAUACAGCGAGUACUGCAACAUUUCUCAAUUAGCCGCCUUGCUGGUGGCGCCAGAGAAGGCUUGCCACAGGGUUUGCUCGCAGCUGCUUAGCUUUAAACCUUGCAAAAACUGAAAACAUCAAAGCAGACAGAAAACAGAGAUGAAGUAUUAUAACAACUGCGCAAUAACAGUGAUGAAGAGGCAAAGGGUUUGCUAUGAAAGCUUCGGCGGUGGUUGGAUGUUGGUCUUGGUACGUCGGCCUUGACGUUGGAGGUAAUUAAUCACCCCUUCUUCUUGUUUUUUUUUUCUUCGCUUAAUUUCUUUUUAGGUUUAUCAAUCUGUUAAUUUUUUUGCGUGAAAUUGAAAGAAUUUGUUUGGUUCUCAAGAAACUAUAAGAGGAAGGAAAGGAAAGUGAAGUGAUUCGAAGUUCUGCGUGUGAUAUAUAUAUCUGCUGCUUUCAUUUUUUUUUACGACUAAUGGAUUUUAUUUUUAAAAAGAGUAGUAGUUUUUAUCAAAGUUGAAGCUUUGAAAGUGGAAAUCGAGGGCUAAUUCGCUAUUUAAAUUUCAAUGUUUUUUUUUUCUUUACUAUGUAAACAAAGAAUUGAAAUUAAAAUGGAUGUUAAAAACGGGAACCAGAGCUUGUAAACUGGUUAGCUAAUAUUUUUACUAAUGGAGAAACAAGAAGUGUAAGAUUUGCAUCUUGUUGUUACUGCUUUUCCUCUAGUUUCUCAGGGAUGAUUAACACCCAUUGAAUAUUUAUGGCACGUGAAGAACCAUGUUGUGGCUAGUCAGGGGUGUUUCUGAUAGAAUUGGCUUCAUAUUUGCCAGGGUGAUCAUUCUCGUCCGACGCGUGUUAGAGUUUGAUGUCCGGUGCAAGAAAGGUUGCUAGGGUUGGCCAGGAGAUAUGAUCUCUAGAGCUUUAGUGUGAUCUCCAAGUAAAUAAACACACAAAUAAUUCUAGAAAAAAAAAAAAGGGGUGCUGGACCCGAGCAUAUAAAUUAGUAAUUAAUUUAUUAAAAUGAGUUUAGAAUUACUAAUUAAUUCUUCUCAAUAAGUUUAUGUUGAUAUUAUUUUAUUAAAAAAAAUUCAAAAUACAAGAAAUAAAACAAAUUAGUUAAAAAACCAAAACUGAAAAAAAAAAAAAAACGAAGGACAGAAAAAUAUUUAAGUUGCUUGGAACCAAGCAAUUUGGGAAGAAAAAGAAAAAUAUGGUGUGCUGGACCCGAGCAUAUAAAUCCUGAGCCCAGCUUAUCGGGCUUAGUUAAAAUCCAAGAAGGUGGGCCAAGUCCCUUGAAUUUGGACAAGUAGCCUCCUUUCGAGCUCGUCAGACAAAGACCCUUGGCUAGAAGCCGUGAUGGUCUCUUAUCACUUUCGUUAUCAAGCUUAUGACCAUGGGUCCCAUAGCUCUCAAGCCCUUCAAAGUUCAAACAUGAACCCCCUAAGUUAGGGUUUGUAGUUCUAGGCUCGCCACUACAGUUAUGUUGGAAUUUAGAGGGAGAACACCUAUCAUUUUUGUUUAAAAUAUUUUUUAUUUAAAAAUAUAUUAAAAAUAUAUUUUUUAAUAUUUUAAAAAUUAAUUUUAAUAUUAUUAUAUCAAAAUAAUUUAAAAACAUCAAAAAAAUAUUAAUUUAAAGUAAAAAAAAAUAAUUUUUUUCAAAAACACUUUCAAAAUACAAAAACAAAAAAUGACAAUUCAAUUUUGUACAACAUAAAACUCAUUAGAUCAACUAUAUGAGUUUUGAAUCGGGAAAAAAAAUAUAUCCACAUCCAAAUAUCACAACAAAAUUAAUUAUACAUAAAGACUAGCUCGAGUUUAUGUUUUUCCCGGUGGAAAUUGGAUGGUAGGCUCCGGGAAAUCAUUUCCAGCUUGAAUCCUCGCACCUAUUCUACAGAAGCAUCAGUUAGCCACAUGAUAAUUGCUACCGCAAGUUUGAAUUUAAAUGAAACAAAUAAAAAAAUAAAGAAUUAAGUACUGGAUAGGCUCCCAUAGGCCUUCUAUGCACCUUCUCUUUAAAUAGUGUUUUUCAGUAUUUGUUAAACAUUUCUUGAUAUUAAAAAUAAUAUUUAAAAAAUAAAUAAAUAUAAUAUUUUAAUAUAAUUUUAAAUAAACAACACUUUAAAGCAUAAUAUUUACCCUCCUUUCGCCGGAUGAGCAUUGAUCCACGCACUCAUUCAAAUCAUUGAAAAUCUUAAAAUCCACCAGUCGAAGGCUCAAUUUUGAUGGCCAACUCUAAAUUAUUUAUAAUUGGAGGUUAGUUGAAUUCUAAGCUGGUAGUUACAUAGAAUACUAAAUUAUACAUAUAAUACACGAUCUGGACAUGAAAGCACAUUGUUUUAAAUCUUGUAUAAAAGAAUGUGUGGCCUGCUCCGCUACGUUGCUGACAGCAGCAAGCAAAAAGCUCCGGUGGUUAAAGGGGUUGAUCCGAAAGGAAGCAUGGAUUAGACUAGCUUAAAAAAGAGAAAGUAUAUCAUAGAUGCCCAAUUCCUUUUCCUUCUUUUCUUACAAGAUAGAUGAUUCAGAGAUACCUUGCCAUGAUUUCUGGGAAAACCAGAGAGGUGGUUUCCCUUGACUGUAUUCUGGAUAUAGAGCGGGAAAACGAAACUAGUGUGCUUUAUACAAGAAGGAAAAACAUAGAAUAUAUGAGCAUAAUGUAGUGCAUAAUUAUGUACACAGAGCACAUUAUGAUCAAACUAUAUACAACAUAUAUAUCGGCAAACCAGAGGACUUCACAUGCUGGUAGCAGAACAGCUAUAAAUACUGCCUCGGCCUGUCUAUCCACCGUGAGAAGCGGCAGCCGGCAGGUCCAUCUUCUUGUACUUAAUUCACAUUCCUGAGCAUCGCAUCUAGCCAGACUGAGCUAGUUGGAUUCAUAUUGUAGCAAACAUCCCUCUACACUCUACAGAAAAGAAAAGUCUUCGUGAUUAU
rnacentral:lncRNA from 1 species